rfam:Gossypium arboreum cultivar AKA8401 contig_54896_1, whole genome shotgun sequence.
AUCCCAUGAUGAGGACACUUAAGAAGUAAUUCUUUGAAUCUCUCUCACACCUUGUACAAGGGCUCAUCAUCCAAUUGCUGGAAAGUGGUGAUCUCAUUUUGUAACU